UAAAGAUCGACCUUUUCUGCCGUAAAGGUCAAUCUUAAAAUUGAUUAACUAUCAAAUUGUAUACCGGUGUCCCGAAAAACACCGGACUCUGUUUGAUUUCAUGUAACGUAAAAGCUAUAAAAGCUAUCGCAGAUUCGCAAUGAAAUAAAGAUCAUUGCAUUCAUAAUGUAUGGAAGCCCAGGAGGCUCAGAUCAACUUUUUAUUUUAGUGUUUCAACUUUUCACUUUAGUGUUUUAACUUUUUAUUUUUGUGUUUC